rnacentral:rRNA from 1 species
CCUACGGGAGGCAGCAGUGGGGAAUAUUGCACAAUGGGGGAAACCCUGAUGCAGCGACGCCGCGUGAGUGAAGAAGGAUCUCGGUAUGUUAAGCCCUGUCAGCAGGGAAGAAAAUGACGGCACGUGACCAAGAAGCCCCGUCUAACUACGUGCAAGCAGCCGCGGUUAUACGUAGGGGGCAAGCGUUAUCCGGAUUUACUGGGUGUAAAGGGGGCGUAGGCGGCAGGGCAAGUCUGGAGGGAAAGGGGGGGGUUCAACCCCCGGACUGCUCUGGAAACUGGCAGGCUGGAGUGCAGGAGAGGUAAGUGGAAUGCGUAGUGUAGCGGUGAAAUGCAUAGAUAUUAGGAGGAACACCAGUGGCGAAGGCGGCAUACUGGACUGUAACUGACGUUGAGGCUCGAAAGCGUGGGGAGCGAACAGGAUUAGAUACCCCGGUAGUC